AGACCCGAAACCCGGUGAUCUAGCCAUGGGCAGGUUGAAGGUUGGGUAACACUAACUGGAGGACCGAACCGACUAAUGUUGAAAAAUUAGCGGAUGACCUGUGGCUGGGGGUGAAAGGCCAAUCAAACCGGGAGAUAGCUGGUUCUCCCCGAAAGCUAUUUAGGUAGCGCCUCGUGAAUUCAUCUCCGGGGGUAGAGCACUGUUUCGGCUAGGGGGCCAUCCCGGCUUACCAACCCGAUGCAAACUGCGAAUACCGGAGAAUGUUAUCACGGGAGACACACGGCGGGUGCUAACGUCCGUCGUGAAGAGGGAAACAACCCAGACCGCCAGCUAAGGUCCCAAAGUCAUGGUUAAGUGGGAAACGAUGUGGGAAGGCCCAGACAGCCAGGAUGUUGGCUUAGAAGCAGCCAUCAUUUAAAGAAAGCGUAAUAGCUCACUGGUCGAGUCGGCCUGCGCGGAAGAUGUAACGGGGCUAAACCAUGCACCGAAGCUGCGGCAGCGACGCUGAUGCGUUGUUGGGUAGGGGAGCGUUCUGUAAGCCUGCGAAGGUGACCUGUGAGGGUUGCUGGAGGUAUCAGAAGUGCGAAUGCUGACAUAAGUAACGAUAAAGCGGGUGAAAAGCCCGCUCGCCGGAAGACCAAGGGUUCCUGUCCAACGUUAAUC
rnacentral:rRNA from 1 species